GAUGAACGCUAGCUACAGGCUUAACACAUGCAAGUCGAGGGGAAACGGCAUCGAAAGCUUGCUUUUGAUGGGCGUCGACCGGCGCACGGGUGAGUAACGCGUAUCCAACCUGCCCAUCACUUGGGAAUAACCUUGCGAAAGUAAGACUAAUGCCCAAUGACAUCCCACGAAGGCAUCCGAAUGGGAUUAAAGAUUUAUCGGUGAUGGAUGGGGAUGCGUCUGAUUAGCUUGUUGGCGGGGUGACGGCCCACCAAGGCAACGAUCAGUAGGGGUUCUGAGAGGAAGGUCCCCCACAUUGGAACUGAGACACGGUCCAAACUCCUACGGGAGGCAGCAGUGAGGAAUAUUGGUCAAUGGGCGAGAGCCUGAACCAGCCAAGGAGCGUGCAGGAUGACGGCCCUAUGGGUUGUAAACUGCUUUUAUAAGGGAAUAAAGUGGGUCACGUGUGACUUUUUGCAUGUACCUUAUGAAUAAGGACCGGCGAAUUCCGU
rnacentral:rRNA from 1 species